rnacentral:rRNA from 1 species
CCUACGGGUGGCAGCAGUGAGGAAUAUUGGUCAAUGGCCGGAAGGCUGAACCAGCCAUGCCGCGUGAAGGUCAGCGCCCUAUGGGCGUUAAACUUCUUUUUUGCGGGAGCAAUAAUGGUCACGUGUGGCCAGACGAGAGUACCGUACGAAUAAGCAUCUGCUAACUCCGUGCCAGCAGCCGCGGUAAUACGGGGGAUGCAAGCGUUUUCCGGCUUUAUUGGGUUUAAAGGGUGCGUAGGCUGUGAGGUAAGUCAGCGGUGAAAUGCCCCCGCUCAACGGGGUGAAGUGCCAUUGAUAAUGCGUUGCUGGAAUGCGGAUGCAGUGGGGGGAAUGUGUGGUGUAGCGGUGAAAUGCAUAGAUAUCACA